rnacentral:rRNA from 1 species
GAUGAACGCUGGCGGCGUGCCUAAUACAUGCAAGUCGAGCGGACAGAUGAUGAUUUUGCGCGUCUGACGUUAGCGGAGGGCGGGUGAGUAACGCGUGGAUAACCUCCCUGUAAGACGGGGAUAAUUACGGGAAACCGGAGCUAAUACCGGAGAAUAUAUUGAUCCGCAUGGUUCAAUGGUAAAAGACGGUGUUUGGGGAACGUAUCGCGGGAUCCCAGCGGUUUGAGCUAGUUGGGAAGGUAAAGGCCUACCAGGGGAACGAUGCGUAUCCGACCUGAGAGGCGGAUAGGCCACAUUGGAACGGGACCGCCGUCCAUGCUCCUGCGGGAGGGCGCAGUAGGGAAUCUUCGGCAACGGGCGGAAGCCUGACGGAGUAACGCCGCGUGAGUGAUGAAGGUCUCCCGAUCGUAAAACCGUGUUAUUAGGGAAGAACCAAUGUGUACGUAACUAUGCACGUCGUGACGGUACCUAAUCAGAAAGCACCGGCUAACUACGUG